AGACAGUCUGGCAAUACCGCAACUUUGAUGAAUCCCGCAAAUUUUGUUGAGAGGUUAGAGGGGCUGGAAAUGUAAUAAUUUGUCUACACCUCCUGCAUGCCUAGAUGAAUGACAACAAUCUACUGAUAGUAUCCGAAGCUAUUUCCUAAUUCUGCGAAAACAAAGAAGGUGUAAAUGACAGUUUACAUCAACAUGCUACACCGGUCGAAGGUGUGGGAUAUGUGCGAAAAGAAAGCGAAAACUUGACAAAAUUGAUUUCGCAUACUCACCAAUGGGAGUCUAUCACAGCCCGCACGGAUUAAAACGAACACAACACUUAAAAUUGAUUACAAAUUUGCUAAAAUUUAAAAUGGCGGCCGGCAAUAAUGGCGAACGUAAACGGCAGCGCGUCAGCUUCAGGUUGGUGAAGUUUGCGCGCAAACGACUAGCCUCGCGACAGGGUCAAACAGCAUAAGCCGGUUUUGAACCGCGAAUAAAUUACAAUAUUGUGCAUUGCAAAUAGUUAUUUAUCAGUGCAAUUCAUACUUGCAUAAGGAAAAUGCCCAAUGAACAAAGUAGAGUAUUGGGCGAUAAAAGAUCAGCAAGUUCUGCACUUAUUAAGGAUGCAGGUAUAUUCGGUUGCAUAGUAUUGCAUUUACCCAAGACCAGGAUGCUUAUGCAAUUUUUUUCCUGCACGCCAGAGCAUUUGCACUAUGUAUUUGAAAUUAAUUUUGCGACAAUAACAUGAAUUCUAGCUAACGCAGGUUGAUAAAUAUUCGUGUAUAUCUAAAGGGCACUUACUUUGUAAAAGUCCGUUGAAAACACUUAAUACACAUUAACAAACACAACAAACAUUAUUUAAAUAACUAAAAUGUAUAACACUAACAACUAAAUAGGUAGUAAUUAACAUUUAACUUGUAAAAAAACGAAAGUAAAUCCUUAAGGCACUGUUAACUGAAAACUUCGUCCAAAAGCGGUGCACAGUUUUGGCUCCAAAACGAAAACAGAAAGUUCGGUGGACGAGCGUGAAUAUCGGAGAAUUUUCGAUAAACCAAAAAGGGUUAGCGAAUUUCGGUUUUGAAAUUUAAAGGGGGUGUUCUACCGGCUCC